rnacentral:siRNA from 1 species
CGCUAUGAUGAGUCUAUGGAUGAU